UGGGGAAUAUUGCACAAUGGGCGCAAGCCUGAUGCAGCCAUGCCGCGUGUAUGAAGAAGGCCUUCGGGUUGUAAAGUACUUUCAGCGGGGAGGAAGGGAGUAAAGUUAAUACCUUUGCUCAUUGACGUUACCCGCAGAAGAAGCACCGGCUAACUCCGUGCCAGCAGCCGCGGUAAUACGGAGGGUGCAAGCGUUAAUCGGAAUUACUGGGCGUAAAGCGCACGCAGGCGGUCUGUCAAGUCGGAUGUGAAAUCCCCGGGCUCAACCUGGGAACUGCAUCUGAUACUGGCAAGCUUGAGUCUCGUAGAGGGGGGUAGAAUUCCAGGUGUAGCGGUGAAAUGCGUAGAGAUCUGGAGGAAUACCGGUGGCGAAGGCGGCCCCCUGGACGAAGACUGAUGCUCAGGUGCGAAAGCGUGGGGAGCAAACAGG
rnacentral:rRNA from 1 species